rnacentral:rRNA from 1 species
UACGAAGGGUGCAAGCGUUACUCGGAAUUACUGGGCGUAAAGCGUGCGUAGGUGGUGAGUUAAGUCUGUCGUGAAAGCCCCGGGCUCAACCUGGGAAUGGCGAUGGAUACUGGCUCGCUAGAGUGCGGUAGAGGAGAGUGGAAUUCCCGGUGUAGCAGUGAAAUGCGUAGAGAUCGGGAGGAACAUCAGUUGCGAAGGCGGGUCUCUGGGCCGAUACUGACGCUGAGGAGCGAAAGCGUGGGGAGCGAACAGG